UACGGAGGGGGCGAGCGUUUGUCCGAAGUUACUGGGCGUAAAGCGCGUGUAGGCGGGUUAUCAAGUCUGCUGUGAAAGCCCGAGGCUCAACCUCGGAGGGUCGGUGGAUACUGAUAGUCUUGAAGGUGCUAGGGGGGAGAUGGAAUUACCGGUGUAGCGGUGAAAUGCGUAGAGAUCGGUAGGAACACCAGUGGCGAAGGCGGUCUCCUGGGGCAUUCUUGACGCUGAGACGCGAAAGCGUGGGGAGUAAACAGG
rnacentral:rRNA from 1 species